CCUAGGAGUGAUCGUUUGACAUUUACUAAUUCAGUGAUUAUGGUGACUUUAUAGAACAUGGGCAGCACAAAUAACAAGAAUCAUCUGUAUACAAAUUAGUCUGGAGUGUGGCCAAGAGAGUAUAUGUGAUCCUGAUCUG
rnacentral:lncRNA from 1 species